rnacentral:rRNA from 1 species
GGACUACACGGGUAUCUAAUCCUGUUUGCUCCCCACGCUUUCGCGCCUCAGCGUCAGUCGAGGACCAGGUCGCCGCCUUCGCCACCGGUGUUCUUCCCAAUAUCUACGAAUUUCACCUCUACACUGGGAAUUCCACGACCCUCUUCCCCACUCUAGCCCAUACGUAUCGAGCGCAGCCCCCAGGUUAAGCCCAGGAAUUUCACGCCCGACUGUACAAGCCGCCUACGCGCCCUUUACGCCCAGUCAUUCCGAGCAACGCUAGCCCCCUUCGUAUUACCGCGGCGGCUGGCAC